rnacentral:rRNA from 1 species
GACGAACGCUGGCGGCGUGCUUAACACAUGCAAGUCGAACGUGAUUUUUGUGGAAAUUCUUUCGGGAAUGGAAAUGAAAUGAAAGUGGCGAACGGGUGAGUAACACGUGAGCAACCUACCUUACACAGGGGGAUAGCCGUUGGAAACGACGAUUAAUACCGCAUGAGACCACAGAAUCGCAUGAUAUAGGGGUCAAAGAUUUAUCGGUGUAAGAAGGGCUCGCGUCUGAUUAGCUAGUUGGAAGGGUAAAGGCCUACCAAGGCGACGAUCAGUAGCCGGUCUGAGAGGAUGAACGGCCACAUUGGAACUGAGACACGGUCCAAACUCCUACGGGAGGCAGCAGUGGGGAAUAUUGCACAAUGGGGGGAACCCUGAUGCAGCGACGCCGCGUGAGCGAAGAAGGUUUUCGAAUCGUAAAGCUCUGUCCUAUGAGAAGAUAAUGACGGUAUCA